rnacentral:lncRNA from 1 species
GGAGCGAAGGCGAAAAGAUAAAAAACAAAAAACAACAACUAAUAGAAUAUGCAAGAAGGAGAGACCCAAAAUUGAAUGCGUUUAAACGGGAAGACCAGCAGAGCAAUGUUUCCGAAACGGGGAUCUGCGCGAAUGUCUGUAUAUAGUGAACUUUGACACUACUAUUGAAACUGACACGUUUCUAUGGAGAUCGCUACGCCUUAUAUGGUGCUCGUGUCAAGGAGCCAAGAGAGGGGCUGCUGGCAACUGAUAAUCAAAGGCGACUGACUGGCCAGAGCCCUGCAUUGAGGGGAGAGAGAGAGAAAAUGGGAGGCUAAGGUUAGCCAAGCCUCUUUCUCUCCAUUGGUUAGUCCUGGUUCCUUGCUACCUACGACUGGGGUCUCUGACAAGCACAAUUUACAUUGAGCUCGCCCUGCGCUGCUAUUUACUUUGAAACCUGAUUAGUAUUAGUCUAUUGUCACAAACAGAGGAGGAAACCCUGGAUAGAAUGGCCGAAAUAAGGGUAAAAGCGAGGACAAAGCUUUGUGCACGUGAAAUAAACAAACGUGCUAGGCGAAAGGGACUGGCAUAGAAUUCCUCAAAGUUUGAAAUGAUACUGUGUUCCUGAUGAAGAUUUCAAACGGAGCAGCUGGUGCCUGUUUUGUAGAUUUAGGAAAGACCUUCCAGGAUCGGGAAGAGAGCUGGACGGAGAGAGAGAGAGAGAGAGAGGGGUGACAGUGAAUGAGAGCAGCGGGAAGAAGGCUCUAGCACGAAAACAGGAGAGAAAAAGAGAACGUGGACAGCAGGGUAUUAAAAGAAGAAGCACUCAGCGACAACUAUUAGGCUAUAGUGGACGGGAAACAUCGGUACCUGAAUUUGGCUAACACCAGCCAGGGAGUGAGGGGCUGUGCAACAUGAUCGUGCCAUGUAAGUUCCACUGCUGCUACAUAGGCCCUGUUCACCAAUUCAUUGAGACAUCUCACUAGCGCGAAUGGAUUCAUGGAUGGAAUAAUUUACCAAAAAUAUACAUUUAUUAUAUUGCUAUAACUUCAACACUCCUUGAAAUUAGAUCCAAACUAUCAU